UACGGGGGGGGCAAGCGUUGUUCGGAAUUACUGGGCGUAAAGGGCUCGUAGGCGGCCCACUAAGUCAGACGUGAAAUCCCUCGGCUUAACCGGGGAACUGCAUCUGAUACUGGAUGGCUUGAGUUCGGGAGAGGGAUGCGGAAUUCCAGGUGUAGCGGUGAAAUGCGUAGAUAUCUGGAGGAACACCGGUGGCGAAGGCGGCAUCCUGGACCGACACUGACGCUGAGGAGCGAAAGCGUGGGGAGCGAACAGG
rnacentral:rRNA from 1 species